CUUGACAUCCCGAUGCUAUUUCUAGAGAUAGAAGUUACUUGGUACAUCGGUGACAGGUGGUGCAUGGUUGUCGUCAGCUCGUGUCGUGAGAUGUUGGGUUAAGUCCCGCAACGAGCGCAACCCCUAUUGUUAGUUGCCAUCAUUCAGUUGGGCACUCUAGCGAGACUGCCGGUAAUAAACCGGAGGAAGGUGGGGAUGACGUCAAAUCAUCAUGCCCCUUAUGACCUGGGCUACACACGUGCUACAAUGGUUGGUACAACGAGUUGCGAGUCGGUGACGGCGAGCUAAUCUCUUAAAGCCAAUCUCAGUUCGGAUUGUAGGCUGCAACUCGCCUACAUGAAGUCGGAAUCGCUAGUAAUCGCGGAUCAGCACGCCGCGGUGAAUACGUUCCCGGGCCUU
rnacentral:rRNA from 1 species